AAGAUGAUAAUAUCUUUAUUGCUUAAUUCUCAAAGAGUCUUACAACCUAUAUUUAUAACCUAAAUAAUUUGCAUAAGAAUUAAUCCUAAGAUAACUUGUGGGCCAAGCCCCUAACUAAUGCCCGGUGGGCCUCCUCCGGUUAUAAGCUAAACCGGUCAUAACGGUAGUAUAAAAACAAUCUCAUAAUAUGUAUACAUGUGUUAGUGUUUGAAAAGAAUACAUACUCAAUUUUUUGUAUACAAAUUGUAAUGGUGGGCCAAAUCACACCGAACUCCAAUCUGGAGUGAAAAGAAUACUCCAAAAUAGUCACCUAGUAGGUGAGCUUGUUGCUGUACUAAACCUUCGAACCACCAACUUAAGGCCUCCUGUACUACCUGAUCAUUCCUGAUCUACUUCACUGUACCCUUUUGACCAUUUGGGGGAACUCUGUGGAAACCUGAUUUUAUAUCCUUUUGCCAGACCCUUGUAUUAUCAGUCUGCAUAGAGCAGCAAAAUUAUGAUCAUCAGAAAGCAUUUUAGGGACAAAACAAAAAAUUAAUAUAAUACAUAGAUACAAUGCACUAGCAAAUUCAAAAUUACACAGGAAGCGAAUGAUCAACAAAGUGUAGCAUCUAUCCGGGGCAAUCAAAUGCAUAACAGAACUUGGGACACAGGAAAAUUGCAGAGAGGGUGAGCACAUGGACACCUUUUUAUCCUACUCACUUGCACAUUGCCAGCUAAACCAUAUGAUGAUUCGGCUCAUUGAAAAGUACACUUUAAGCUGGAGACAGAUCCCAAAGCAACUGAAAACAACCGAAGGUUUUUCUGAUAAUUGGCUCAUGAGUCCUGAGAGGGCGAAUAGCAAAAAUGCGAUACUGCAUUUCAGUUGUGCAGCGAAACAAGAUUGCUCUAAGAGCAAGUGCAUUCCAUCCCCUGAUAGGCUGAUGUAGUUAACUACCAGAGAGGUAGGUACUUAUUCUGCAGCUAUAAAGCAAGAUGCACACAGGUGCUAUCUCACAUAUCCUGAUUGAGAGUAUCAAACAGUUUCAGUGGCCAUAAGGCAUAGGAACCAAGAUUGGCGCCUGGAUGCCGGAAACAGGGCAAUAACUUGCCUGCUGCAAGGAGGAUUGGCACUGGCCUGAGGAUAUUAGGGCAGCAUGUGCUAACUACUCCCUCCGUUCGGAAUUACUUGUCUCGGAUAUGGAUGUAUCUAGAAUUAAAAUACGUAUAGAUACAUCCAUUUCUGCGACAAGUAAUUCCGAACAGAGGGAGUAGUAUUUAUGCUAAUUCAUGCGAUGGGGGUGACGGUGGCUCAAUCCCCCCACCCUAAUGUGCUGCCAACUACUUGGGACAUUUUCUUUAUUCGCAAAAUAGCUUUGCAGCAUUAUGCUAAACACAAAAUUCAUCAGGUCCUAACAAAGGCCUCACGUACAAGCAAAUGGGGGCAUAGACAUUUGACUCAUUUAUGAAUGCAUUCGUCCAACAGAUAGGCCAAGAGCAUUGUGAUCGGAUUCAGAAAGGCGCAGGUACUAAUAUUCUGCAUCGGAACCGUAUGGUCUUAUCGACGAUUUCUCCAGGGACGCGUGACGAAGUUGGCGACAGGAUCGGGAUCGAGGAGAGGGGAAGGGCUGGCACUCGGCAGGAACCUUACCGAGGUGAGCCGGGGAGGUGGAGGCGGCGGAGAGCCAGAGCACGAGGGCGCAGAGCAGCAGCAACAGCGGGAUGCAGUGCACGGCGCGCCCCAGCGCCCGGGUCCGCGCCGCCUCCCGCCGGCCCGCCGCCGACUGCGGGUCGAACGUCGGGAGCGCCGUGCCGUCGCCGCGGUGGCCCGACGAGGACGCGUCGCCGCCCUCCGACACGCGCGCCCCGCUCGACGACCGCCGCAUCUCUCCCUCGGCCGCGCAACGAGGAUGAGGACGGGGUGGCUGCGGGUGGCCGCCGCGCGGGGGGUGGCUCGGAGGCGGAGGCGCGCCGCUGUGACGGGGUGUUGUGGUGCCGUGUCGGCGUUGGGCGGGCGGAUUCGCACUUCUGCGGUGUGGUUGGUGGUGGUUGGAAUCGGAUUUUGACCAGGUUGGUACGCUUCCCU
rnacentral:lncRNA from 1 species